rnacentral:rRNA from 1 species
CGAACGAGUGGAACUUGUUCUGCUAGUGGCAAACGGGCGAGUAAUACAUAUUUAACUUACUUUUACGAGGAGGAUAGCAGUUCGAAAGGACUAUUAAUACUCCAUAGGUUUAUAAACUAAAUCAAAGAGGCUCCCUCGGGGGCCUCGCGUGAAAAUAGGAAUAUGUCCUAUUAGGUAGUUGGCGGGGUAAAGGCCCACCAAGCCAGUGAUGGGUAGCUGGACUGAGAGGUUGAACAGCCGCAAUGGGAUUGAGAUAUGGCCCAUAUUCCUACGGGAAGCAGCAGUGAGGAAUUUUUCACAAUGGACGAAAGUCUGAUGGAGCAAUACCACGUGAACGAUGAAGGUCUUCUGAUUGUAAAGUUCUUUUAUUUAGGAAAAAAAGCGCGCUAGGAAAUGAGCACGCCUUGAUGGUACUA